GACGAACGCUGGCGGCGUGCCUAAUACAUGCAAGUCGAACGCAGUGGGGACGGGUGAGUAACCCGUGGGUAACCUCCCAUCAGAGGGGAUAACACUUGGAAACAGGUGCUAAACCGAUACUGAUGGAUGGACCCGCGGUGCAUUAGCUAGUUGGUGAGGUAACGGCUCACCAAGGCCACGAUGCAUAGCCGAGCGAGGGAGGUGAUCGGCCAAACGGGGAAGGAGACACGGCUCAGGAUCCUACGGGAAGCGGCAGUAGGGAAACUUCGGCAAGGGACGAAAGUCUGACCGAGCAACGCCGCGUGAGUGACGAAGGUUUUCGGAUCGUAAAACUCUGUUGUUAGGGAAGCGGUACCUAACGAAUAAGCACCGGCUAACUCCGUGCCAGCAGCCGCGGUAAUAC
rnacentral:rRNA from 1 species